rnacentral:rRNA from 1 species
GAUGAACGCUAGCUACAGGCUUAACACAUGCAAGUCGAGGGGAAACGAUAGAGAAAGCUUGCUUUUUCUAGGCGUCGACCGGCGCACGGGUGAGUAACGCGUAUCCAACCUGCCCACCACUUGGGAAUAACAUUGCGAAAGUAAGACUAAUACCCAAUGAUAUCUCUAGAAGACAUCUGCAGGAGAUUAAAGAUUUAUCGGUGAUGGAUGGGGAGGCGUCUGAUUAGCUUGUUGGCGGGGUAACGGCCCACCAAGGCGACGAUCAGUAGGGGUUCUGAGAGGAAGGUCCCCCACAUUGGAACUGAGACACGGUCCAAACUCCUACGGGAGGCAGCAGUGAGGAAUAUUGGUCAAUGGGCGAGAGCCUGAACCAGCCAAGUAGCGUGCAGGAUGACGGCCCUAUGGGUUGUAAACUGCUUUUAUAAGGGAAUAAAGUGAGCCUCGUGAGGCUUUUUGCAUGUACCUUAUGAAUAAGGACCGGCUAAUUCCGUGCCAGCCGCCGCUGUAA